UAAUAACAAGCCUUGCUUUAUACCUUUCAACAAGACCAUCAGACUUGUAUUUGAUUUUAUAGACCCACUUACAGCCAAUGGGUUUCUUACCAGAAGGAAGAGGAACAAUAUCCCAAGUAUGGUUAGCCUCCAAAGCAUCGUCUCAUUGAAUCCUGCCAUGCUGGGACAGAUGCAGCUUGAGACUAAUACAUAGGUUCAGAUUCCAAAGUGGAGGAAGAGGAACCAGAAAAGGCAGGCAGUUGACAGACAUAAUCCUUAAGGUAGGAAGGAGGAUUAUGCUGUCUAGUGGACUUUCUAGGUGUGGGAAGAGGAUGUGAAGGAGGUAACACAGGAGUAGGGAGAUCAUGAUUGAAAGAUGAACCAGCAUCAGGAAAAUCAGGGACAGGAGAAGCAGAAGGAGAAUGUUGUCUAGUGGACUUUCUAGGUGUGGGAAAAUGAUGUGAAGGAGGUAAUACAGGAGUAGGGAGAUCAUGAUUGAAAGAUGGACCAGCAUUAGGAAAAUCAGGGACAUGAGAAGCAGAAGGAGAAUGAGGAACAGGAGAAUCAGGGGAAGCAGGUAUAGGAAAGUCAGUGUCAGUGAAAUCAAUAGCAGGAGGAAUAAAAGGAAAAGAUGAAGAAGAAGGGUGAGCAGAAGUAGGUUUAUUCUUAAAAGGGAAAUAAGUUUCAUGGAAGAUAACAUCCCUUGAGACAAAACACUUUUUGGAAACCAAAUUAUACAGUUUAUAACCCUUCUUGGCAAAGGGGUAACCCAGAAAAACACAAGAAUGGGCUCUAGGUUUCAGCUUGUCCCUUUGAGGAAUAGGGACAGCUGCAUAAGCUAGGCAUCCAAAUGCCCUCAAAUGGGAAUAUGAUGGAGCUUUGCCAUACAAAAUUUCAUG
rnacentral:lncRNA from 1 species